GGCGGCGUAUUGCUCAGCCCGCUGCUGAUCUACGCCCUGGCGGCGCUGCUGGUGACCGGCGUACUGCGCCUGGCGCUGCAGCGGCUGGGCCUGGCGCGCUGGAUCUGGCACGAGGCGCUGUUCGAUACCGCCCUC
rfam:Pseudomonas sp. FeS53a scaffold4.1, whole genome shotgun sequence.